rnacentral:rRNA from 1 species
CAGUCGCCGCGGCAAAACAGAGGAUGCAAGCGUUAUCCGGAAUGAUUGGGCGUAAAGCGCACGUAGGCUGCUUUGUAAGUUAGAGGUGAAAGCCUGGUGCUCAACACCAGAACUGCCUUUAAGACUGCAGAGCUAGAACGUCGGAGAGGUGAGUGGAAUUCCGAGUGUAGAGGUGAAAUUCGUAGAUAUUCGGAAGAACACCAGUGGCGAAGGCGGCUCACUGGACGACUGUUGACGCUGAGGUGCGAAAGCGUGGGGAGCAAACAGGAUUAGAUACCCCGGUAGUCCCUGUCUCUUAUAC